rnacentral:lncRNA from 1 species
AGCUGGUGUGUGUACAUAGGCACAUGCACACACACACACACACACACACACACACACAUGCACACACACACACCAGGGAGGAAGAGACAGUUGGGUCCAGCUCUUGUUCUUCCAGAAGUUGGCAUGGUAGGGAUGAAAAUGAACUCUGCUACUUUGUUUACAAUGAUCUGGGGUCAUAUGACUUUCCCCACAUACUAAAGCAGGUCU